rnacentral:rRNA from 1 species
GAUGAACGCUAGCGGGAGGCCUAACACACGCAAGCCGAGCGGUAUUGUUUCUUCGGAAAUGAGAGAGCGGCGUACGGGUGCGUAACACGUGUGCAACCUGCCUUUAUCUGGGGGAUUGCCUUUCGAAAGGAGGAUUAAUACUCCAUAAUAUAUUGAACGGCAUCGUUUAAUAUUGAAAGCUCCGGCGGAUAGAGAUGGGCACGCGCAAGAUUAGCUAGUUGGUGAGGUAACGGCUCACCAAGGCGAUGAUCUUUAGGGGGCCUGAGAGGGUGAUCCCCCACACUGGUACUGAGACACGGACCAGACUCCUACGGGAGGCAGCAGUGAGGAAUAUUGGUCAAUGGGUGCAAGCCUGAACCAGCCAUCCCGCGUGAAGGACGACUGCCCUAUGGGUUGUAAACUUCUUUUGUAUAGGGAUAAACCUACCCUCGUGAGGGUAGCUGAAGGUACUAUACGAAUAAGCACCGGCUAACUCCGUGCCAGCCGCCGCAGUAA